rnacentral:rRNA from 1 species
GGUGGUGGUGCAUGGCCGUUCUUAGUUUGGUGGAGCGAUUUUGUCUGGUUAAUUCCGUUAACGAACGAGACCUUAACCUGCUAAAUAGGGUAAAAAACUUAUGUUUUUAAAUUACUUCUUAGAAGGACUUUGCGUGUCUAAUGCGAGGAAGUUUGAGGCAAUAACAGGUCUGUGAUGCCCUUAGAUGUUCUGGGCUGCACGCGCGCUACAAUGAUGCACCCAACAAGUUUAUAGCCUUGGUUGGUAAGCUUAGGUAAUCUUNAUGAAUGUGCAUCGUGAUGGGGAUAGAUUAUUGUAAUUAUUAAUCUUUAACGAGGAAUGCCUAGUAAGCGCUAGUCAUCAGCUUGCGCUGAUUACGUCCCUGCCCUUUGUACACACCGCCCGUCGCUCCUACCGAUUGAGUGAUCCGGUAAAUUAUUUAGACUG